rnacentral:rRNA from 1 species
GAUGAACGCUGGCGGCGUGCCUAAUACAUGCAAGUCGAGCGAAUGGAUUAAGAGCUUGCUCUUAUGAAGUUAGCGGCGGACGGGUGAGUAACACGUGGGUAACCUGCCCAUAAGACUGGGAUAACUCCGGGAAACCGGGGCUAAUACCGGAUAACAUUUUGAACCGCAUGGUUCGAAAUUGAAAGGCGGCUUCGGCUGUCACUUAUGGAUGGACCCGCGUCGCAUUAGCUAGUUGGUGAGGUAACGGCUCACCAAGGCAACGAUGCGUAGCCGACCUGGGAGGGUGCUCGGCCACACUGGGACUGAGACACGGCCCAGACUCCUACGGGAGGUAGCAGUAGGGAAUCUUCCGCAAUGGACGAAAGUCUGACGGAGCAACGCCGCGUGAGUGAUGAAGGCUUUCGGGUCGUAAAACUCUGUUGUUAGGGAAGAACGAGUGCUAGUUGAAUAAGCUGGCACCUUGACGGUACCUGACCAGAAAGCCACGGCUAACUACGUGCCAGCCACCGCGGUAA